CAGCAGCCGCGGGAAUACGUAGGGUGCAAGCGUUAAUCGGAAUUACUGGGCGUAAAGCGUGCGCAGGCGGUUAUAUAAGACAGAUGUGAAAUCCCCGGGCUCAACCUGGGAACUGCAUUUGUGACUGUAUAGCUAGAGUACGGCAGAGGGGGAUGGAAUUCCGCGUGUAGCAGUUAAAUGCGUAGAUAUGCGGAGGAACACCGAUGGCGAAGGCAAUCCCCUGGGCCUGUACUGACGCUCAUGCACGAAAGCGUGGGGAGCAAACAGGAUUAGAUACCCCCGUAGUCCCUGUCUCUUAUAC
rnacentral:rRNA from 1 species